UGGGGAAUAUUGCACAAUGGGCGCAAGCCUGAUGCAGCCAUGCCGCGUGUGUGAAGAAGGCCUUCGGGUUGUAAAGCACUUUCAGCGAGGAGGAAGGUGGUGAGCUUAAUACGCUCAUCAAUUGACGUUACUCGCAGAAGAAGCACCGGCUAACUCCGUGCCAGCAGCCGCGGUAAUACGGAGGGUGCAAGCGUUAAUCGGAAUUACUGGGCGUAAAGCGCACGCAGGCGGUUUGUUAAGUCAGAUGUGAAAUCCCCGGGCUCAACCUGGGAACUGCAUUUGAAACUGGCAAGCUAGAGUCUCGUAGAGGGGGGUAGAAUUCCAGGUGUAGCGGUGAAAUGCGUAGAGAUCUGGAGGAAUACCGGUGGCGAAGGCGGCCCCCUGGACGAAGACUGACGCUCAGGUGCGAAAAGCGUGGGGAGCAAAACAGGAUUAGAUACCCUGGUAGUCCACGCUGUAAAACGAUGUCGAUUUUGGAGGUUGUGCCCUUGAGGCGUGGCUUCCGGAGCUAACGCGUUAAAUCGACCGCCUGGGGAGUACGGCCGCAAGGUUAAAACUCAAAGGAAUUGACGGUCUAGCUGUUUCCU
rnacentral:rRNA from 1 species